AUUCAGCUGACGACUCCCAAAUAGGACGAAAUGUGCAUCCUGGAU
rfam:Trichobilharzia regenti genome assembly, scaffold: TRE_scaffold0010969